rnacentral:lncRNA from 1 species
UCGAUAAUAGGAUAAAAACAGAAUAUAUUCGAAAGGAAAAACAUUCGUGGUAGUGAGUUUCCAACCUACGACCCAACGCUCAGAAGCCGAGUGUCUUACCCACUGGGCUAAACCAGCGCCUCCUAG